GGGAGAAGGGGCGAAGCUGCGCGCAGCUGCGGCCAGGCGAGGUCUGAAAAGAGCCCUCUGAGCCAGUCUGCAGAGGAGAGGAGGUGAUCGAGGUGCCAGAGCAGGACUUCUCUUUGAGCCCUUGGACGAAUUCCGAUGGUGUAAGAGUCUAUCAGAUUCCUCACUACAAUCUGACUACAUAAAGGGUGUUCAGCUGUCAUGCCUGAUUCAUAACACAGUUUUGUGACAUGAGAAAGGAAAACUUAAAAUGGAUUGUAUUUGUUUUUCUUUCUCUGCAAAUGACGUUUUAAGCAGUCCUUUUAAGAUAGGAUUUCAAUAUAUUUACUUAGAUGAAGCCAAACUUGGUUCUCUGUA